CACACCGCCCGUCACACCAUGGGAGUUGAUUGCACCAGAAGCAGGUAGCCCGACCGCAAGGGGGGCGCCUACCACGGUGUGGUCAAUGACUGGGGUGUA
rnacentral:rRNA from 1 species